AUGCCGGAGCCAGCCCGCUUCCUUCCUGGCAAGAACAAGGACGGCAAGGACUCCACCGAGCCCAACCCUCUCCACCCAAUCUGAGUCCGGGAGGAUCAACAAGUGCUCGGGUACCUGCUCAACAACCUCUCCAAAGAGUUACUGGUGCAGGUGACCGCGAUCACCAUGACACAUGCGCUCUGGACAACCCUGGCGGCCAUGUUCUCCUUGCAGCCGCUCAGCCGCAUCAACAACAUCCAGACGGCUUUGCUUCAUGCGCAGAAGGGAACUCAGCCGGUCGCCACCUUCUUCGCCCACAUGCCCGGCCUGGCUGAUAAACUCGCCACGGUCGGCAAGCCGCUGCAAGACGACGAGAUCGUCUCCUACAUCAUCCAUGCGCAGGACAUGGAGUACCAGCCUCUGGUGUCGGCCCUCGAUGCCUACACCUCUCCCGUCUCCCUGGAUGAGUUGUUCACCAUGCUAAGCAACUUUGAUCAGCACAUGGCACUCUACCAGGGUUCGGGCGGCUUCAAGUCAUCUGCGAACGCUGCCUCUCGUGGCCACGGCGGACCUCCACGCGGCAAGACCAGAUCGGGUGGCGGUGGCAACUCCUCCAACAACACCACUCCUCACGCCGGCUGUUCCCCCUCCACCAACUCCAAGGGAUGCGGCGGCGGUGGUGGCCGUGGCUCCAACCGAGCGCGCCCUGAUGCGCCGCGCUGCCGGAUCUGUGGCAAGCUCGAGCACAACUCCCGGGACUGCUGGUAUCGCUAUGACGAGGAUGAUGAUGACUCCCAGGACGGGGACAAGGUGGCUACUGCUGCAGAUAGCUCCUAUGGCGUCGACACCAACUAG
rnacentral:rRNA from 1 species